GAUGAAGAACGUAGCAAAAUGCGAUAAGUAAUGUGAAUUGCAGAAUUCAGUGAAUCAUCGAAUCUUUGAACGCACAUUGCGCCCGCUGGUAUUCCGGCGGGCAUGCCUGUUCGAGCGUCAUUUCAACCCUCAAGCCCCCGGGUUUGGUGUUGGGGAUCGGCUCUGCCCUUCUGGGCGGUGCCGCCCCCGAAAUACAUUGGCGGUCUCGCUGCAGCCUCCAUUGCGUAGUAGCUAACACCUCGCAACUGGAACGCGGCGCGGCCAUGCCGUAAAACCCCAACUUCUGAAUGUUGACCUCGGAUCAGGUAGGAAUACCCGUUGAACUUAAGCAUAUCAAUAAGCGGAGGA
rnacentral:misc_RNA from 1 species